CUCCCAUUUGAUGUCAACGAUCUUCUGCAAAUACCCCUUUUCCUUCCAAACUGUAAACUCUUCUGCAUUCUUCAAUAAAAUUUCUUCAGCAAAAUUCAUGGGAAUUCGAAGCACGCUAUGAGGAUCAGUGACAAAAAGUGAUCAAUUCUGGGAUGGGAGAUUGGAACUUGGGACCUCAGAUGGAGGGUGAAUGCUGAGUAGCGAAAAAUCACAGUAUGAUGAAGACUAAUGGGGUUGCUUUCUUUGCUGUCUAUGAAAGAUUCAGUCAACAGCUGAUAUUUUGAAGUUUAAGUUAUUUUGGUUUUUGGUAUGGUAUCAUGGGAAGAUGUCAAUAUUCCUGAUAUGUAUAAAGCUUUUCUUUAUGAUAAGAGAGCGAGAUUGCUA